GUCUACAGCCAAACCACCCUGAACGUGCCUCAUCCCAAAAGCUAAGCAGGGUCGGGCCUGGUUAGUGCUUGGAUGGGAGAAUUACCCUCAUCAUGGUGACAUGCUGUCCCUGAGGAGA
rnacentral:rRNA from 1 species